CACGCCCCCUGAUAUCAAGGGAGCGAACUCUGUCUAUGUCCGUCAAACAAACGAGGAAGUAAUGGCGUCUCGCGUCGUUUCGCUUUCCGAUAUUCCUGACAAAUUAUCAUAAAUGUGACAUUACAAUGCGAAAAAAAUAGAAGUCAAAGGAAUUUGUAACUGGCUGCUACAUCGGAAGGCUCGAUAUAUCUUUAGAAAAUGACGAUAUCUAACAUUUACGGGGUGAAAUCUAUCCAAGUCAGAGAAAAUCGGAUAGCCGCCAUGUUGUCAACAUUGACAUCGAUACAAAGGAAAAGCGUGUGUGUGACGCAUACUGUAAAUGCAAACAAGGAAAUUGUGGAACAUGUUCACACACUCUGGCUGUAAAAGUAGACCUGGGAGGAAAAGUGCCCCCGGUGUGGGGCUCGAACUCACAACCACCAGAACACUAGCCUGGCGUUCUAACCAACUAAGCUGACUGGGCAGCUGGUUCUAACCCACACACACUACCCUCCCCCCAUUUACCGGUUAAGGCUGGUGGAGGGUCUCCUGCUAUUUACCGUUGACACCAUUAAAGUAUUCUGAUUGAUGGAGAUAAGGAAGUCCCCUUAUUAUUGUCUUCAACAAGCCUACCGCCACAGGGGACCUAGCAUAAGACCGGAAACCGCCCCCCCACACACACACACACAUGAUAUUUGCCAGUCCAGGCAAUGUCAACCGCAAGAGAAAACCAGUGAUGACAAGUUUUACAAAUAAACGGAAAGUGUGGUCUUUUGAAGAGAGUUCUUGAAGUUGUUCAGCAUGUUGUUUUGAUGGAUUCUUGGAAGGAUGUACCUCUAUGAUGUUAGCUUCAGUUCUGGAGUAUAACACCAGUUGUUGCAUAUUUAAUAUCAGAUUUAUUAAAUACAUUGUUGUUUUGCAAACAUUACUUAAACUUUGAUAUUUCUUUGAUGUUUAUGUAUGAUAUUGUAGGUGAAUAUCUCUUUAUUGCAGUGGCAAAUAUAUUUUAAAAUAUAUAGCAUUAGCAGAAGUUAUUUUUCACUGUUAAAGCUGCACUUUCACAGAUUGAUCACUUUGACAACUUACACAGGAUUCGAUUGCAUUUAUCAUGUUUUGGCUUGAGAAGUUUGCUUUGUGAUUUAUAUAUUAGGUCUUAAUUUAAAGAAUGCCAAAAUAAGCCGAUUCUGAGACAAAAAGUGUCAAACUAGAAUUCUGUGAGAGUGCAACUUUAAGAAAACUGUUAAUCGAGUGUGCAUGUGAUCCGGACUCUGAACAUUGGAUGAACUAUCAUUAAAUAUUGUAGAUUUACGUAAAUGGCCCAAAAUAUAAAAAUAACAAUGAAAAUACAUGCAUGUUUGACUCGUUCUUUAUUCAUAAUAAGUCUAAGUCUUUACAGCACAUGUUUGGCAGAAUCAAGUUCUAAUGAACAUAAUAAUUGAUUUAAAUGUACAGUGAAAUAAAUUGUUUUAUACAGAAAAUAAAACCUUAACG